rnacentral:lncRNA from 1 species
ACUUGCUCGGCACCCGAGCAGGUGCCGAAUUCCGAAAUGCCUUAUCCAAAUAUUUGACCCCGGCCUAACUCCCUAAGGAAGUCUGACUCCAGAUACGCAACCUCACCGUAUCCUGCCACUGUCGUCAAAUUAUUAUUGCGCAUGGCCUCUGCAGGCCUCCAGCACACUCAACCAUUAAAUGGGCAUGGUUCAUGAUGAUCUCCGGUUCACUCAACCAUCAAAGCGUAUGGCUUCUGUCGUCUACGGACAUUGAGCCUCUUACGGCAAACCUACUUGACAACUGAUGAUAACAUGAUUCAACGAUGACUCGAGAAAUUCGACCUAAUCUCCAACAGUAACAGCGCUGACUCAUACGAUCGGGCAUUAAUUUCCACUCCAUACCAGAUUGUACGACAGGUAGUUUGCCCCGUCACAUCACAGGUA